GGGGAAGAAGCAAGUUGGAGCCUUUUCUUCUUCUUCUUCUGGUUAUUUCCAAAAUGACGAAGACAAGUUUACUGUGUUGCCAAAGCUGUUUAAUGGAUUCGAUAAUUACGAUGCUAGGCGAUGACGUUUGAUUCAGAUUUUCCUCCUCAGUAAUUAUGCUAAGAUCUUUUGAUAUUUCGACAACUUGAACGUAAAUAAAUUGUUUAGGACUUGUUAAAAGGUCGUCGUGAGGAGCUGGUGUCUUAACUUCUCACACCUGAAUGUGAAAAGACGUACUUGGGUCAGUUCCGAGACCAAAAGUUGAACUUGAUCCUCUUAGUUUUUUAUAUACAUUUAAAAAAAAGCUGUAUUAUUAUAAGCCAGAAAGCGAAAACUUUUACUAAGGAAUAUUCUGGUAACCAAAUCUCCUUCUCGUGAAGUUACUUUUUGGUAGUGUAAAUAUUAAAGUCGGGCUGCUCAGUCAGUAAUGGACGACGAAGAGAAGCCAUAUUUGUUGCAUGUAUAAAAAUCUAGAUGUGCUUCAAAACGAAACAGUAUUUUAAAGGUAACAGGUUUCGAAAAAUUGCAGAGUUCAAUGAUUAGUCUAAUUUAAAAAUGAUCUGAAGAGAGAAUUGAGGUUUAAUGGUUUGGAGAACAAACCAGAAAUGCACAAACCUUUUGUGUAUUUUAGAAUGUCUUCCUUCUGCAGAGCUCUUGUGCUGUAAAGGUGCAGAACUGCGUAAAAAUAAGUGUUCAAAAAUAAGUGUUCGGAAUACUUAGAUACGUAGCACAUCUAAAAGCAGCGCUGUUGGUUUAUUCAACCAUGUAUCCAAUGAUAUUGUUAUUCCAGUAAAAAUUGUUCUUUUUUUUUUUCAAAUAGCUGUGAUAAAGGUGUGUGUUCCAUCAGUUGCGCAUAUCCUGAUUUUUACCAAAUCUGUUUUAAAUCUUAGGUUGGUUUUUCCAAGUCAAUGUUUUAGAAAUCUUUGAAAAGUAAAAGUGGUUUUCUAGAGGUCUUGGCUGUGGAGGGUUUUAGAAUUCUUCCUGAAUAGUAAAAUGCAACGAUAAUAAUUGCUAGUGGUUUUACAUCACAAGAUCUUUUUACAUGGUAAUGGAGGAGGUAGGCUGAAAACAUUCCAGACCUGGGUUUGAAAUAAAAUAAAGGUCACAGAUGUUAGGAGUUUUAGACCUGCUUGGAAGACAAAGGUAAAUACCCCACUCUGUGAGAUCGAGUAACUUGGAGUUUAAAAUUUAAAGUAAGCAGUGGCCAUUUUAACUUCACUAAUUUCUCCAGGAGGAUUUAAUUUUUAAUGCUUAUAACUGUAGGGGUUUUUUUUGCAGUGGUAAUGGAAAUUUUUAAGAGAUUGCAGUUGUUAAAAAUGGUAAACUUUUUGUUUAGUGUAUGGCUUCUAAAGAGAAAAAAUAAGAUUGUAGCAAUGUCUUGAAUUUUCUGUAUUUUUAAUUGCUAUGCCUUAAUCCUUAGUAUAUGUGAGUGCAACCAAAAGAUGGGGAAAACAAAGACUGAUAGACAUUAAGGAUGAGAAAUGACUGCUAUCAUGAAUGUACAGGUCAUGGCCACAACCUACCUCUUCAGGACACCCUUAGAGCUUGUCUUUUUCAUAUUUUCUUGUUAUAAACAGUUUCUUUGACUAAGAAAUGUUUACAAUAAAAACAAUUGAUAUCUUUCUUUUUUUUAAAGGUAACUUACAAGAUUUAAAUUUAAUUGAUUGCUGGUAGUUGUGAACAAAUACAACUUUUGUCCCAGGUGUGUGCCAUUUUGAAGACAGUUUUUUGUCCUUGAGGGUAAAAGGAAACCCUUUGGAAAACCUGUUUUACAUAGCAAAAAUUUGAUUCCUCAUAUGAAGUAAAAAAGGCCUAAACAACAAGACAUUGGUGGGAACAUUUAUCAAGCCACUCAACUCAGCUUGAAGAGUCAAAUGGAUCCUUCCACUGAGAAAUCAAGAUGGCAGUCCAGUAUGGCAAACUGAGGAAAAUGGAUUUAAUACAAGAGUGCUGUGAUAUGUACAACCAAGCAGGGUUCUUUAACAUGGAUUCCAUGAGACUGAAGAUACAGGUCUCUAACCACCUCAUGUGGACAGUGGAUGUGACUUUCUAGAGACAUUCAUGUCAUUAAAAUUAGAAGAAAGAUGACAUCUAAACCAGAGGCUAGUUUGUAUUCCUGAACCUUUUUUGCAAUUUGAUUUAAAUAUGACCUCAUGGAAUGUUAACAUCAAUAAAACUUCUAACACUUGAA